GGUUGUGGCUCAGCGGUAAAGUGCUUGCCUAGCACAUGUGAGGCCCUGGGUUCGAUUCUCAGCACCA
rnacentral:tRNA from 1 species